ACGGCUCAGUAACACGUGGAUAACCUGCCCAAGGGUCUGGGAUAACCCCGGGAAACUGGGGAUAAUACCGGAUGGAUCACUAGUGCUGGAAUGCUUGGUGGUCGAAAGGUAACGCCUUUGGAUGGGUCUGCGGCGGAUUAGGUUGACGCCGGUGUAACGUACCGGCGUGCCUGUAAUCCGUACGGGUUGUGGGAGCAAGAGCCCGGAGAUGGAUUCUGAGACACGAAUCCAGGCCCUACGGGGCGCAGCAGGCGCGAAAACUCUACAAUGCAGGCAACUGCGAUAGGGGGACAUCGAGUGGCAUCCACCUUGGGUGCCUGUCCAACCGUCUAAAAAACGGUUGUUAGCAAGGGCCGGGUAAGACCGGUGCCAGCCGCCGCGGUAAUACCGGCGGCUCGAGUGGUGGCCGAUAUUAUUGAGUCUAAAGGGUCCGUAGCCGGCUUUGCAAGUCCCCUGGGAAAUCCAGCGGCUUAACCGUUGGGCUUUCAUGGGAUACUACAUUGCUUGGGACUGGGAGAGGUAGGAGGUACUCGGGGGGUAGGGGUGAAAUCCUGUAAUCCUCCGGGGACCACCGGUGGCGAAGGCGUCCUACCAGAACAGGUCCGACGGUGAGGGACGAAAGCUAGGGGCACGAACCGGAUUAGAUACCCGGGUAGUCCUAGCCGUAAACGAUGCCCGCUAGGUGUCACGACGGUCGUGAAUCGUCGUGGUGCCGUAGGGAAGCCGCGAAGCGGGCCACUUGGGAAGUACGGCCGCAAGGCUGAAACUUAAAGGAAUUGGCGGGGGAG
rnacentral:rRNA from 1 species